UUGCAGCCAGUUAAGCCGACUGUGCUCUUUCCCCCAUGGGGGCCCGCUGCAAAAUGGCUGCAAACAGCAGCCUCCUCGGUAGUGUAUGCAGCCUGUUGCCUGUAUGGGUUGCCCUAAGGGACCUUGGAGACAGCC
ensembl:snoRNA SNORA70 Small nucleolar RNA SNORA70